AUGGUGGCCGCGCCAGCGAUUGGGAGCAGGAGGAGCGAGAUCGGCGCCCUUUCCUCAUCCGGUCGCAGAACCCCAUCGCUACCUCCUCGCAGCCGCCACGAACACCCCAAGCCUCCUGGGCCGGAAGCCGCCAGCCGCUUCAGCGGGAUCGAUACGCCGCCAUCCGCGUCGAGAAAGAUCACGGAUCGAAACCGCCAGCGCCGCCCUCUCCGAUCACCCACUCACCCGCUCGAGAUGAAGGCGUUCGUCUAG
rnacentral:rRNA from 1 species